ACGCUCGACACCUACGGGGGCAGCAGUGGGGAAUAUUGCACAAUGGGGGAAACCCUGAUGCAGCGACGCCGCGUGAAGGAAGAAGUAUUUCGGUAUGUAAACUUCUAUCAGCAGGGAAGAAGAUGACGGUACCUGACUAAGAAGCCCCGGCUAACUACGUGCCAGCAGCCGNGGUAAUCUGAGGCGGGCUGGCAAGGC
rnacentral:rRNA from 1 species